CGCUAAUCCCCAUUUCCCCUCGCUGCGCCAACCCCAACCACUCCGGCAUUCCGCCCCCGUCGAAGCUUCGAGGAGCUAGCUAGGGCUUCCCAUCCCGAUGGCCGCCGUGAAGCCCUCGCCGCCGCCGGUGCCGGCGCAGAUCGUCGUCGUGGUGCUCGCGCUCGCGCGCGUCGUCCUCGCCCUGAUGCUGGCGCUCGGCCGCGGCCGAAGCGCUCCCCUACCUGGGCUUCGCGGCUCUGUGGGUCAUCUCCGCGGCCGCGGCUGCCAGGGUCGUGGGGAGCCGAGCCUGGGACGAGGGCUCCGCCCCCGCCGUGUUUCUCCAGGCGCUCACAGGCGGGGCUCUCAAGGCCAGCUUCCUUGUCCUGCAAGCGCUUGGCGCCGUGAUGCUGUGCGGCCAGUUCCUGCUCUACGUGGUUGCAGCUGUAUCUGGAUCCGGUUCAGAGUUCCAGAAGGCCCCUCGUUGUGGUUUUGCUGAAUUUGCUGCCCCCCUCAGAGAGGCCAUGGAGCUUUCAACCAGGAGUUGAUUAGGGGCGUUCCUCCCCGCACUGCAGUCCUUGGAACGUUCGCGUCUACGCCCUUCAUCCUGCUAAUUUUAGCCGGUUCUCUGGUGCAAUGCAUGAUGUCGAAAAAGAUUGGUUCUGUGAUGGUGGAUGUGGGGAUAUUUGGCUCCAGUGCGAUACCUUGCUUUGUGGUCAUUCCAGCUGUAGUACUGAGUAACUGGAGGGAGGACCAGAUGUCAAAGAAAAACAUGACUCACAUUGCAGACUGUUGAGACAUAACACUGAAUGGAAGGUGUGAAGAUGGGCAAGGCAAAUUACAAGAGCUGACUCUUUGCUGAAGUUUAUGGCCGCUGAUGAGUUCUGGGUUAUAGUUAUCUGUAGACAUGACUGUAGAUUGGUCCACCGCUAGUAUUGUAUACUCCACGUGUUACGAGCUCCUGUAAUUCGACAUCGUAGUGUUCUAGUGUUUACUUGCUGCUGGGAGGUCGGGAGUACGAGACCAGAUAAUUAACGAGGGGUAUAAAUAACACCCUCCCGGAGGAGAAUGCUUUUCUAGGCGUGUAGAAUUUGCCAUGUUUGCACUUAUGCUGGGUGACUACUAUUUCUUUGCAAGUCAAUGGCCCAUCAACAUCUCUUAGCUAUAAAGGUUGUUCAACAUUUCUCGUCUGUCUGAAAUUUCUGCCUAGGAGUCUGUCUGAAAUUUCUGCCUAGGAGCAUCGACGUGAGGACAACGUAGGAUCUUCUCACCAGUCACCACUGACAAAUCCGCCUUGUUUAUGGUAUUCUCAGUUUUACUGUAUCGCCAGUUUGCAAUCAACAUUGUUAUGGAUUACAUAUGACUGGCAAUUUUACAUAGUUGUCCCAAGUUUCCAUUUGUCAACAAACGAUGAAGGCAAUUCUCAUACAUGCAUGAUGGACUGUGGUCCAUAUAAUCAUUUUUUCAGUACA